rnacentral:rRNA from 1 species
GAUGAACGCUGGCGGCGUGCCUAAUACAUGCAAGUCGAGCGAACGGACGAGAAGCUUGCUUCUCUGAUGUUAGCGGCGGACGGGUGAGUAACACGUGGAUAACCUACCUAUAAGACUGGGAUAACUUCGGGAAACCGGAGCUAAUACCGGAUAAUAUUUUGAACCGCAUGGUUCAAAAGUGAAAGACGGUCUUGCUGUCACUUAUAGAUGGAUCCGCGCUGCAUUAGCUAGUUGGUAAGGUAACGGCUUACCAAGGCAACGAUGCAUAGCCGACCUGAGAGGGUGAUCGGCCACACUGGAACUGAGACACGGUCCAGACUCCUACGGGAGGCAGCAGUAGGGAAUCUUCCGCAAUGGGCGAAAGCCUGACGGAGCAACGCCGCGUGAGUGAUGAAGGUCUUCGGAUCGUAAAACUCUGUUAUUAGGGAAGAACAUAUGUGUAAGUAACUGUGCACAUCUUGACGGUACCUAAUCAGAAAGCCACGGCUAACUACGUGCCAGCAGCCGCGGUAAUACGUAGGUGGCAAGCGUUAUCCGGAAUUAUUGGGCGUAAAGCGCGCGUAGGCGGUUUUUUAAGUCUGAUGUGAAAGCCCACGGCUCAACCGUGGAGGGUCAUUGGAAACUGGAAAACUUGAGUGCAGAAGAGGAAAGUGGAAUUCCAUGUGUAGCGGUGAAAUGCGCAGAGAUAUGGAGGAACACUAGUGGCGAAGGCGACUUUCUGGUCUGUAACUGACGCUGAUGUGCGAAAGCGUGGGGAUCAAACAGGAUUAGAUACCCUGGUAGUCCACGCCGUAAACGAUGAGUGCUAAGUGUUAGGGGGUUUCCGCCCCUUAGUGCUGCAGCUAACGCAUUAAGCACUCCGCCUGGGGAGUACGACCGCAAGGUUGAAACUCAAAGGAAUUGACGGGGACCCGCACAAGCGGUGGAGCAUGUGGUUUAAUUCGAAGCAACGCGAAGAACCUUACCAAAUCUUGACAUCCUUUGACAACUCUAGAGAUAGAGCUUUCCCCUUCGGGGGACAAAGUGACAGGUGGUGCAUGGUUGUCGUCAGCUCGUGUCGUGAGAUGUUGGGUUAAGUCCCGCAACGAGCGCAACCCUUAAGCUUAGUUGCCAUCAUUAAGUUGGGCACUCUAAGUUGACUGCCGGUGACAAACCGGAGGAAGGUGGGGAUGACGUCAAAUCAUCAUGCCCCUUAUGAUUUGGGCUACACACGUGCUACAAUGGACAAUACAAAGGGCAGCGAAACCGCGAGGUCAAGCAAAUCCCAUAAAGUUGUUCUCAGUUCGGAUUGUAGUCUGCAACUCGACUACAUGAAGCUGGAAUCGCUAGUAAUCGUAGAUCAGCAUGCUACGGUGAAUACGUUCCCGGGUCU